UGUUUUUGUAUGUAUGUGUGUGUGUGUGUGUGUAUAUAUAUAUACACACACACACACACAUACAUACAUACACACA